GCGGCGCGCCUAACACAUGCAAGUCGAACGAGCGAGAGAGAGCUUGCUUUCUCGAGCGAGUGGCGAACGGGUGAGUAACGCGUGAGGAACCUGCCUCAAAGAGGGGGACAACAGUUGGAAACGACUGCUAAUACCGCAUAAGCCCGCGGUGCCGCAUGGCACAGAGGGAAAAGGAGCAAUCCGCUUUGAGAUGGCCUCGCGUCCGAUUAGCUAGUUGGUGAGGUAACGGCCCACCAAGGCGACGAUCGGUAGCCGGACUGAGAGGUUGAACGGCCACAUUGGGACUGAGACACGGCCCAGACUCCUACGGGAGGCAGCAGUGGGGAAUAUUGCACAAUGGGGGAAACCCUGAUGCAGCGACGCCGCGUGGAGGAAGAAGGUCUUCGGAUUGUAAACUCCUGUUGUUGAGGAAGAUAAUGACGGUACUCAACAAGGAAGCGACGGCUAACUACGUGCCAGCAGCCGCGGUAAAACGUAGGUCACAAGCGUUGUCCGGAAUUACUGGGUGUAAAGGGAGCGCAGGCGGGAAGACAAGUUGGAAGUGAAAUCCAUGGGCUCAACCCAUGAACUGCUUUCAAAACUGUUUUUCUUGAGUAGUGCAGAGGUAGGCGGAAUUCCCGGUGUAGCGGUGGAAUGCGUAGAUAUCGGGAGGAACACCAGUGGCGAAGGCGGCCUACUGGGCACCAACUGACGCUGAGGCUCGAAAGUGUGGGUAGCAAACAGGAUUAGAUACCCUGGUAGUCCACACCGUAAACGAUGAUUACUAGGUGUUGGAGGAUUGACCCCUUCAGUGCCGCAGUUAACACAAUAAGUAAUCCACCUGGGGAGUACGACCGCAAGGUUGCAACUCAAAGGAAUUG
rnacentral:rRNA from 1 species